AUGAAUCAACCUGAUGGGAUCAACAUCCCCAACAGCAAGUUCUAUCUUGGAGAUGCUGGCUAUGCAUGUCGACUGGAUAUUCUUCCACCCUUCAGGAAAACCAGGUACCAUCUCAACGAGUUCUUUGGUAAGAACUAUCCUAGGACUGCACAGGAGUUGUAUAAUCUCAUACACUCCAGCCUUAGAGUAACUGUUGAGAGGGCAUUUGGAGCUAUGAAGAAUAGGUUUAAGAUCCUGGAUCAGAAGCCAUUCCAUCCAUACCCCACUCAGGUUAAGCUUGUUCUUGCUUGUUGCAUUCUGCAUAACUUGAUGAACACGUGCCUAAGGAGGAAGAGGUCGAGCUUGACGAUGUUGUUAGCUCCGGACAUGGUGUGGAGGCAUUUGACAAUGACACUUGGAAGAACAAAAGGUUGGAGUGGGCAGAGGCAAUGUGGCUUAACAGAGGUCAGUGCAGGAUUUGAAAAAGAGGAGGAAGAAGAAGAAGCAGUAGUAGCAGCAGAAGUAGAAGAGGAAGAGGAAGAUCUGGUAGCAGCAACACCGAUGAACUAUCACCUAUUUAGCCAAUGUCUCUUAUUAAUUUGA
rnacentral:rRNA from 1 species